rnacentral:lncRNA from 13 species
GGCCACAGCAGCUAAGUAUGCUCAUCCUGUUUACUAAGGGAGCUGUCACUUAGCAUCACUGAUUGUGAUUCUAUGGGAAUUUUUGCUCAGUGGGGCUAGAUCUUCAGGGUUUCCACAAGAUGUUGAAAAUCCAGAUUAUUGUGGACAAAUAUCCUGAUAUUUAAAACAUUGGUUUAUUUUGUUAAGAACACAGUGCUCAGGACAAGCGAAGCCUUGUAUCAGGAUGAAUAGGUCCAGAAAGGCACUUUGGGGCUCUGGAGAAAUACUUAGCCAUGCCACACUUCUGAUCAGAGGACAGGCUGUACCCGGGACUUGUCUGAGGAUCCUGUCUUUCUACUUGGUGUUGCUGGUAAUGAUUUCAGUGUUCGUUAGGAGAACUGGUGCUGUGAAUCAGAAACAAAGAGAAGAAACACAGGUGAGUUAAUUUGGUUCUUUCUUUAACUUGUACCCUGAUAAGAGAUAACAUCAGAAAGGAACCAAAACUCUUAGUUAAAAAGUGGUCUUUAGGCCAGGCACGGUGGCUCACGCCUGUAAUCCCAGCACUUUGGGAGGCCAAGGCGGGUGGAUCACGAGGUCAAGAGAUCAAGACCAUCCUGGCCAACAUGACAAAACCCUGUCUCUACUAAAAAUACAAAAAAAUUAGCUGGGCGUGGUAGCAUGAGCCUGUAGUUUCAGCUACUCAGAAGGCUGAGGCAGGAGAAUUGCUUGAACCCAGGAGGCGGAGGUUGCAAUGAGCCGAGGUCGCGCCAUUGCACUCCAGCCUGGCACCUGGUGAUGGAGUGAGGCUCUGUCUCAAAAAAAAGUGGUCUUUAAAUUAUCUGUGAAUUUAUGAUGUUAUGUACCUC